CGUGCGUUGGUGGAAUAGGGGUAACACGCUGGCCUCGUAUGUCAGGUGUCCGGAGUUCAAACCCCGGCACGG
rnacentral:tRNA from 1 species